GUGGAUGUGGCUCAAGCAGUAGCGCACUCACCUAGCAUGCGCGGAGUGCUGGGUUCGAUCCUCAGCACCACA
rnacentral:tRNA from 1 species